GCAAACAGAAAGGGGGAGAGGAGAAGAACCCUAACCCUCAUCCAACCUUCAAACCACCGUAUCUCUCUCGUUUGAGCUCCGAUUGCCACACCGUUUGCGGCCACGCGUCCAGCGCGUCGAGCUCUACCUUUCUAUUUGAAAAAUUUCACUGGUUCAAGUUAGCUUUCGGGACUUAUGGGCUCAAGCUAUUGAGCAUAUGGGUAUGGUGUAGAUUAAGUGGGUAUAUAUGCAUUGGAAUUGAAUUAAGAGUACUUGGAGGCUUGUUGGUGGUCAAGGCUUGUUUUGGGGCUAUUUUGAUUGAGCUUGGAGGGGCUGUGAUUUGUGUUGAGAGGCUGCCUUGGGUGAAACUAAGUGAUCGGCCAAGAUGCAGGUUGAGAGGCUCCUCGCUAGGCGUCUGGAUCUUGGGAAGCG